GCAAGUCGAGGGGCAGCACAUCUUCGGAUGGUUGCGACCGGCGCACGGGUGCGUAACGCGUAUAGAACCUACCUUUUACAGGGGGAUAGCCCUUAGAAAUGAAGAUUAAUAUCCCAUGGUAUUAUAGAUUGGCAUCAAUUUAUAAUUAAAGAUUUAUCGGUAAAAGAUGGCUAUGCGUCCUAUUAGUUAGAUGGUAAGGUAACGGCUUACCAUGACUAUGAUAGGUAGGGGUCCUGAGAGGGGGAUC
rnacentral:rRNA from 1 species